rnacentral:lncRNA from 10 species
CAGGGUGAGCGAGGAAGGACCCCGCAAUAUAACUCCCCCCGCCCCGCCGCCGGGGCUGUCCGCCGCGCCGCCUGAUCGCAAAUCCCUUGGACGCAGGCACGCGCACGCGCGCGCGCGCACGCACGCACGGACGCUGGCCGCGCAGCGCCCGGCCCUGGGCCCACCGGCAGCUGCCUGCCCCGUGCGCUCUGCAGCCCACGUGGUGCGGCGGCGUCCCAGCUGGACGCCUGCCCGGCCUACGCGGCCCAUUAUGUGCUGGCCCUGGGGUGCGCCCGUGGCUGCCUCCUAUCCCCGCCGCACCACGCCCGUGCGCGCCGGCCUUUCCGUCCGUCGGCGGGAGGUGACCUGGAGAGCUGGGGGGAACUCCCUCUCCAGUUCGCCUGGGACGCUGCCUUUCGGCCUCCAUACAUGGCGGGGACCUCGGAGGCCUGUCCCGCUUGGACCCCCAAGUGGUCCCCGGGUGACACCCAAGUAAAGGCCACCUCCUUCUCCAGGCAGGAGCUGGCCACACGAUGAGGAUGCCCCGGAAGGGGGUGCGAGGCGGUGGGAUGCAGACACGAAUCCUGCCUUCCAGGGCUUACUCGCUGCCUGGGUAUUGGGGGGUUUUGAGAGGAGAGAGUAUAGGUGAUCGGUGACUUAGCAAGAGAGACUGCACAUCUCGGUUUUUUGCAGAAGUCGUUGCCUUGGAAAAAGAAUUGGAUACUGUUGUGGAUUCCAUCAUCUAGCAAUAACAAAACAUGGUUAUGCAGUGGGAAUUAAUUACACGGGUAAAUUUCCAGGUUUGUGAUUGAGAUGGUAGUAAUUGUGGAUGCCACGAUGUUGACAAACCUUAAUUAUCUAAGCACACUUUGAAAGAACCUCAUAGAAUUUUGUUGUGAUGUGUACCUAGGUAUCUUCCGCUUAACCAUUACUUUUUAUUAUGUAUUUAUUGGUUCGUUGUUGAGACAGGGUCUCGCUCUGUCGCCCAGGCUGGACUGCGGUGGAACAGUGGUAGCUCACGGCAGCCUUGACCUCUUGGGCUCAUGCCAUCCUGCCGCCUUAGCCUCUGGAGUAGCUAGGACUAUAGGCGGGCAGUACCUCGCCUAAUUUGCAUUUUUUUUUUUUUUUUUUUGAGAUGGAGAAUCAGGUUGGAGUGCAGUGGCGCAAUCUCAUCUCACUGCAACCUCCACCUCCUCGGUUCAAGCAAUUCUCCUGCCUCUGUCUCCCGAGUAACUGGGGUGACAGACGUGCACCACCACACCCAGUUAAUUUUUGUAUUUUUAGUAGAGACAGCGUUUCACCAUGUUGCCCAGGCUGGUCUUGAACUGAGAUCCACCCGCCUUGGCCUCCCAAAGUGCUGGGAUUACAGGCAUGAGCCACCGUGCCUGGCUCUAAUUUGCUUUGUAAAACAUUUAUUUGUAGAGACAGAGUCUCACUAUGUUGCCCAGGUUUGUCUCGAUCUACUGGCUUUUAAGUAGUCCUCCUGCCUCUGCCUCCUAAAGUGCUGGAAUUACAAGCAUGAGCCACUGUGCCCUGCCAACUUUUAUAUUUGAGUAUCUUCUCCUUCAUAGCAGUGUUAAGAUGGACAGAGCAUUAUCAAUUCAUGAGUUAAUAGUGUUGAACUCACUUAUUCAUUUUUCUGUGCCUUUUUCUUCCCAAGUAAUAAAACACUUUGCUGCCUGAUAGACCUAGAUUGAACCUAGGCUCAGUUAACGUCUUACUGGCUGAGUGACCUCGAGGACGUUGCUUAACCGCUUUAACAUGCCUGUUUUCUCAUCUAUAUAAUAAUGUCACCUACCUCUUCAGUGUUGUAAAGAUUCAAAUUAGUAAAUAUGUAAAAUUCCUGGCACACAAUAUAUAUUGGGGACCUACCAAGGUGUCUGGCACCAUUAUGGGUGCUUUACCUGUAGAUAAUAAUUUCCAAACCUGUUUAACAGCUGUGGAACCACCCAGAGAGAAAGAGACUUGCCCAAGGUCACCUAGUUUUGACCUUAGCACAUGGCUCAGAAAAUAACCAAUGGUUUCUUCUCCUUGCGCAGUUUAAACUUGGACCCCUGCUCCAUGCUCCUGCCCCCAUUA